rnacentral:snRNA from 1 species
AUACUUCUCUGGCGGGGGAGAUACCAUGAUCAUGAAGGUGGUUUUCCCAGGGAGAGGCUAAUCCAUUGCCCUCUGGGUGUGCUGACCCCUGUGAUUUCCCCCAAUGCCGGAAAAUUGACUACAUAAUUUGUAGUAAUGGGCAACUAUGUUGGCGUUUUCCUG